GAUGAACGCUGGCGGCGUGCCUAAUACAUGCAAGUCGAGCGAACAGAUAAGGAGCUUGCUCCUUUGACGUUAGCGGCGGACGGGUGAGUAACACGUGGGUAACCUACCUAUAAGACUGGGAUAACUUCGGGAAACCGGAGCUAAUACCGGAUAAUAUUUCGAACCGCAUGGUUCGAUAGUGAAAGAUGGUUUUGCUAUCACUUCUAGAUGGACCCGCGCCGUAUUAGCUAGUUGGUAAGGUAACGGCUUACCAAGGCGACGAUACGUAGCCGACCUGAGAGGGUGAUCGGCCACACGGGAACUGAGACACGGUCCAGACUCCUACGGGAGGCAGCAGUAGGGAAUCUUCCGCAAUGGGCGAAAGCCUGACGGAGCAACGCCGCGUGAGUGAUGAAGGUCUUCGGAUCGUAAAACUCUGUUAUUAGGGAAGAACAUACGUGUAAGUAACUGUGCACGUCUUGACGGUACCUAAUCAGAAAGCCACGGCUAACUACGUG
rnacentral:rRNA from 1 species